CACCUUCGGGUGUGAAUUAGCGGCGAACGGGUGAGGAACACGUGAAGAAUCUGCCUUCAACUCUGGGAUAACUCCGGGAAACCGGGGCUAAUACCGGAUAUGAGCCUUGAUCGCAUGAUCGGGGCUGGAAAGUUUUUCGGUUGAAGAUGACUUCGCGGCCUAUCAGCUUGUUGGUGAGGUAAUGGCUCACCAAGGCGACGACGGGUAGCCGGCCUGAGAGGGCGACCGGCCACACUGGGACUGAGACACGGCCCAGACUCCUACGGGAGGCAGCAGUGGGGAAUAUUGGGCAAUGGAGGAAACUCUGACCCAGCGACGCCGCGUGAGGGAUGAAGGCCUUCGGGUUGUAAACCUCUUUCAGUAGGGAAGAAGCGAAAGUGACGGUACCUACAGAAGAAGCACCGGCUAACUAUGUGCCAGCAGCCGCGGUAAUACAUAGGGUGCAAGCGUUGUCCGGGAUUAUUGGGCGUAAAGAGCUCGUAGGUGGUUCGAUACGUCGGAUGUGA
rnacentral:rRNA from 1 species